GAUGAACGCUGGCGGCGUGCCUAAUACAUGCAAGUCGAGCGAACAGACGAGGAGCUUGCUCCUCUGACGUUAGCGGCGGACGGGUGAGUAACACGUGGAUAACCUACCUAUAAGACUGGGAUAACUUCGGGAAACCGGAGCUAAUACCGGAUAAUAUAUUGAACCGCAUGGUUCAAUAGUGAAAGACGGUUUUGCUGUCACUUAUAGAUGGAUCCGCGCCGCAUUAGCUAGUUGGUAAGGUAACGGCUUACCAAGGCAACGAUGCGUAGCCGACCUGAGAGGGUGAUCGGACACACUGGAACUGAGACACGGUCCAGACUCCUACGGGAGGCAGCAGUAGGGACUCUUCCGCAAUGGGCGAGAGCCUGACGGUGCAACGCCGCGUGAGUGAUGAAGGUCUUCGGAUCGUAAAACUCUGUUAUUAGGGAAGAACAAAUGUGUAAGUAACUAUGCACGUCUUGACGGUACCUAAUCAGAAAGCCACGGCUAACUACGUG
rnacentral:rRNA from 1 species